UGUAUUGGACGGGAAGAGAAAGAGGAUCCCCAAGGGGUGUGCCAUCUCAACGACCAGCCUUCCUCCACUCCCUCAGAUUAGGAGCUAUUUCCAUUUUCUAGAUACUUAACGGCUGCUUAGAGGGAGGCCCGCUUGUAGGAUGGACAAAAACUGCAAAGACUUAACACGUAAAUUAGCUCCCUGAGGAAGAAAUGAGAGAGAAAAUAAGAAGGAAAUACCAUAGGGAACAUAAAGCCUGAGGCUCUGGUUCUAAAUAAAGGAAUGAACUUUUCUGGAGAGUGACGAUGGCUUACCCAACUGCUAUUCAUGAGGCUCUCUCAGUCGUGGUGUGGCCCUUGUUUCCCAGGUUCCUUUUAGACUGCUACACAGAUGGGAAUCGCUGAGGCCCCUGGAUCUUAAUUACGUUAUAACUGCUAUCAGGAGUCUGUUCACGACACUUAGAGCAGAGGACUGGUUAGAAGACAGCAUUUAGCAGUCAUGUUUCAGUCUCUAAAGAGAUUCGAGAAGCAGUUUAGCCUUCAGAGACUGGGCCUCGGAGUUGGGGGACCUGGGUUCUAAUCCCAGCUCUGCCACUUGCCGGCUGGGUGACCUGGGGCACAUACAAUAACUUCUCUGUGCCUCAUUUUCCUCAAUUGUAAAAUGGGGUGUACCUGCUCUCCCUCCCCCGUGGACUGUGAUCUCCAUGUGGGAAAGAUACUGUAUCUGACAUAAUUACCUUGUAUGUGCUUGACACUUAGGAAGUGCUUAACAAAUCCCUUAAUUAUCUCACUUUGGGACUGUUUAAUCACAAACUCUUUUUGAAACCAAAAGGGUUUUCCAAUUAUCUGGGCCAACGGGGUCAGAAAGAAUGUGGAAUUCAACGAUAAUUCUCCAAAUCUCAUUUCUGCUGAGGAUUUCGAGCUCUUUCCCCUUCAAACUCACUCGUACUGUCAACAUCUGGCAAAAUAAACUUACUCAACUUUCA